rnacentral:rRNA from 1 species
UACGGAGGGAGCUAGCGUUGUUCGGAAAUACUGGGCGUAAAGCGCACGUAGGCGGCGCAGCAAGUCAGGGGUGAAAUCCCGGGGCUCAACCCCGGAACUGCCCUUGAAACUGCAGUGCUAGAAUUCUGGAGAGGCGAGUGGAAUUCCGAGUGUAGAGGUGAAAUUCGUAGAUAUUCGGAAGAACACCAGUGGCGAAGGCGGCGACCUGGUCCGUUACUGACGCUGAGGCGCGACAGCGUGGGGAGCAAACAGG